rnacentral:rRNA from 1 species
UACGUAGGUGGCAAGCGUUGUCCGGAUUUACUGGGCGUAAAGAGCGCGCAGGCGGCUGGUCAAGUCCGAUGUGAAAUCUCCCGGCUUAACUGGGAAACUGCAUCGGAAACUGAUCGGCUUGAAGGUGGGAGAGGGUAGUGGAAUUCCCGGUGUAGUGGUGAAAUGCGUAGAUAUCGGGAGGAACACCAGUGGCGAAGGCGGCUUCCUGGCCUGUUCUUGACGCUGAGGCGCGAAAGCUAGGGGAGCAAACGGG